rnacentral:rRNA from 1 species
GAUGAACGCUAGCUACAGGCUUAACACAUGCAAGUCGAGGGGUAGCAGGGUAGCAAUACCGCUGACGACCGGCGCACGGGUGAGUAACACGUAUCCAACCUUCCCAUAACUCGGGGAUAGCCUUUCGAAAGAAAGAUUAAUACCCGAUAGUACUUUUUCAAGGCAUCUUGAAAAAGUUAAAGAUUUAUUGGUUAUGGAUGGGGAUGCGUUCCAUUAGGUAGUUGGUGAGGUAACGGCUCACCAAGUCUUCGAUGGAAGGGGGUUCUGAGAGGAAGGCCCCCAACAUGGGUACGGGGAAACGACCCAAACCCCUACGGGAGGCAGCAGUAGGGAAUAUUGGUAAAUGGGCGAGAGCUUGAACCAGCCAAGUAGCGUGAAGGAUGAAGGUCCUAUGGAUUGUAAACUUCUUUUAUAGAAGAAAAAAGUGAGCCACGUGUGGUUUUUUGUAUGUAUACUAUGAAUAAGGAUCGGCUAACUCCUUGCCAGCCGCCGCAGUAA